rnacentral:rRNA from 1 species
GAUGAACGCUGGCGGCGUGCCUAAUACAUGCAAGUCGAACGCACAGCGAAAGGUGCUUGCACCUUUCAAGUGAGUGGCGAACGGGUGAGUAACACGUGGAUAACCUACCUCAAGGUUGGGGAUAACAUUUGGAAACAGAUGCUAAUACCGAAUAAAACUUAGUAUCGCAUGAUACCAGGUUAAAAAGGCGCUACGGCGUCACCUAGAGAUGGAUCCGCGGUGCAUUAGUUAGUUGGUGGGUAAAGGACGUUACCAAGACAAUGAUGCAUAGCCGAGUUGAGAGACGUGAUCGGCCACAUUGGGACUGA